rnacentral:piRNA from 2 species
CUCUAGAUAGUCAAGUUCUGAUCCAG